rnacentral:rRNA from 1 species
AUGGCUGGGUCCGAUAGGCGCCGUGCUUGCUCCCCUGUGAAGGAGAAAGAGAGAGUUGAGAAGAUAGGAAAGAGAAAAGAGAGAAGGAGAAGGUACAUGGCGGCGGGGAGGCCCUUGUCGCCGGAGGCGACGGAAGACGGCGGCAGCCGGCAGGACGACGUGCGGGAGGCGGCGGGGCCGCGGCCCCGCAGGUUCCGCGGUGGCUGCGUGUCGACCACGGAGUUCAACGCCUCCACGCACAAAAGCUCGUCGGCGUCAAGUUCUUCCGCAAGGAGCUCGUUUCCUCCUCCUCCCCCUCGCUCCCUGGUGUCGGAGCCGGCCUCCCAAGCCCCGCUCCUUGGGCCGCGUUUGCGUGGUGACUGGUGA